CCUUGCUGCCCCAGCCCCGCUUCCUUUUGCUUUCGCUAUGCCUAAAGCCUGAGCUCAGUGUCAGCUGCGGGGCCAUCAUCCUCGCCCACCUCCUAGGGCUAGCAAACCUGCUUCUGGUAGAUGGCAGCCACCCGAUGCCACCCUAGCUCAGAUAUGUGAUGCCCACCAUUAAAGAUCCCUUCCCUGGAUGAAGGACAGGCUUCUAUUGAACUCCUUUAUGGGAAAGAUGCACUCCAAGCUGCCAGCAUUCUUUGUCCUUUAAUACCUUCCAAGCAACUGUUCCCAGAAGCCAUGACAUGUCCCUGCAGCUGGAGGCCUUCCAGGGAGGGCCAUAGAGGCCUCCUGGGCUCAGUGCUGCCUACGGAGGAAGGAAGAGAAAGAUUGGACCCCAGGUCAAGGAAGGAGCCAGAAGACUCAAAGGGCACCAUCUGACUCCACACAAGUGCAUAGCCCACUGACUCAGGUGACACUGAAGAGAAACACCUUGCUUCCCCCACACCACUGUCCCUGACUGUCAGGAGUCCCUGACCUGAUAGCGCUCCCACACCAAAGUCCCUCCAUUGGUCAACACGAAGGAGGAGAAUAGUGCAUGCAGCACACCAGUCCCAUUUCCUUUCCCCUUUGCCACCUGCUCUUCAAUUGGAAAUGACCAGGAGUCUCCAGAUGGGACACCAUCACUUGGUCCCCUGGAAGAGGUUUCAGUCCAACCUCCUCCCCCACUUUUGAGCUAGUCCCAGAGAGCCCCUUUGUCACCAGACUCUUGGUGUGUAAUGUUAGCCCUGAAACGUUUUCUCCAUGAUGUGCGUUCAUGGCCAGCCCCAUUCCAUAUUUAUUUGCCUUCCAAUCCCAGGCUAAGGCUACAUUCCCUUCAUUGUCUUGAUAAUCUCUUCCUCUUGUGCUCCUGGAGGGUAAGACACUGUUUCUCAUGCAUUUCUGGA